rnacentral:lncRNA from 1 species
AGAGCACAGCAGUUGGCAACAGGACCCCACUGCUCAGUGCCAGUGGGGAUCUGAGGGGUGGAGAAGGGAAGCCCACCCUUCACCUGGUCAAUCUCUAGCUGCAGCCUCUCUGCCUCUUCAUCAGUUAGCUCCUUGAUCUGGGGCCCUGAGGUCUCUGACUUGGCUUCCUUGGCCAGUCUGGCGGCCCGCUCCACCUUCUCCCGCCGCUCGGCCUCCUGCCGGGCUCUCUUCUCCCGCCGGGUCUUCUGUGCCAGCUGAUUGUGGUGGCUGAAAGUCUGUGUGAUAAGCUGGAGAGGGAAGAAAGGCCAUGAGGCAUCAGAGCAGGGGACAGUGUCCCAUAGCCUGGAGUCCAGCCCCACUCUCUACCUGCUGGGUGCAAGAGCAAAGCACUGCACCCAGAGACUCGGUUUCCUCAUCUGCAAAAUGAGGAAAAUACAUCUAUCUCAUAGGGUUGUAAUGACAAUACCUGCAAAGCACCUGGUCAUGAGCCACCGCGCCCAGCCCCUAAUUUUUCUUAACUGUAAGAGGGAGCAGUCCUUACCUUACAAGGAUGUUACGAGGAUUUAAAAAAAGGCAAAGACCACAAUCCACUUCAGAAUCCCUUGGGGCCACAUGUGUUUUGGUAUUUAAAAUUAUUUGGAUUUCAAGAAGGCAAUACAGUGCAUAUAAUGUGCAUUACAUACAAUAAUCUAAUCCCAGGCCAGGAGCUGCAUCCUGCAACAAAACACAUUAAUAUUUCUGCAGAGAUAUAUAUAUCAAUAUACAUACCAAGUAGAAGAAAUGAAGGCUGUAAAUACCUCAUGCCACGAACUUACAAAAAAAUACAAAAGCACUUUUAGUUUUAUAGCUUUUGGGGCUAGGAAUUGUAAACUUGAAUACAGCCAUAGUGAUCUAAUCAAUAUGGUAUUGAUAGAAGAAGAGAAAAAUGGACCAGUGAAGCAGAAUAGAAAAUCCUGGAAUAAAGUCUAGCAUUUAUGAGGAUUUAAUGUGUCUACUGUGGUAAUUCAGUUCAUUAGGCAAAGCAUGAUUUAAUAAGUCAUGCUGCUACAUGAAUUUUUUUUGGUUAAAAAAAACAAAAUUUGCCAUCUGUCAUACUCUAUAAAAAUACCGAUAAGAAAAAUCCUGUAAGGAAAGCUAGGAAACUAUAGUCUUAUGUGGGGGAGACUUUUCAGCAUUAGAAAACUGGAAGCUAUAAAAGAAGAGAUAGCUGUUUGCCUUUUCAGAUGCUGAAACUUUGUAAAUGGUAAAAGACAUUUAAGUCAAUUGAAGAACACCAGAUUAUGAGAAAAUAUGCAGUGCAGAGGAAAAAUAACAUUUAAUUGUGAAUUUCAUAUUUAGGAACUCAUAAAUAAAAACUAGCCAGGCCUUGUGGCACAUGCCUCUAGUCCCAGCCACUCAGGAGGCUGAGGUAGGAGGAUUGCUUGAGCCUGGGAGGUUGAGGCUGCAGUGAGCCGUGAUUGUGUCACUACGCUGCAGUCUGGGUGACAGAGCAGGACUUUGUUUCCAAAACAAAACCCACAAUGAGAUACUAUUUCACAUCUGUUAGGAUAGCAUCCGUUAAAAGAUAAAACAAAAUAACAAGUGUUGACAAAGAUAGGGAGAAACUGGAACCCUUGUACACCGUUGGUGGGAAUGUCAAAUGGUGCAUCUGCUGUGGAAAACGUUAUGGCGGUUUCUCAAAAAGUUAAAGAAUACAACUAUCGUAUGUUCCAGCAGUCAUGCUUGUGGGUAUAUACCCAAAAUAAUUAGAAGGAGGAUUUAUUUGCACACCCAUGUUCACAGCAGCCUUAUUCAUAACAGCCAAAAGGUGGAAGGAACCAAAGGCUCCACCAGCAGGUGAAUGGAUAAACAAUGUGGUAUAGACAUACUCUGGGAUGUUAUUCUGUCUUAAAAGGGAAAGAAAUCCUGUCCAUUGCUACAUGGAUGUACCUUGGAGGACAUCAUGUUAUAUGAAAUAAGCUGGUCACAGAAGGACAAAUACAGUUGAUCCUUUGUAUCCGUGGGCUCGGCAUCCAUGAGCUUAACCAACCACUGAUGGAAAAUAUUUGGAAAAAAAAUCUUUUUAAAUGACAGUACAAUAAUAAAAAAUAAUAUGAAUUAAGCCCGACGUGGUG